UACGAACUGUGCGAACGUUAUUCGGAAUCACUGGGCUUACAGGGUGCGUAGGCGGCUCAACAAGUCAGGUGUGAAAGCCCCCGGCUCAACCGGGGGAACUGCGCUUGAAACUGUUAGGCUCGAGUCAGCUAGAGGUACACGGAACUUCCAGUGGAGCGGUGAAAUGUGUUGAUAUUGGAAGGAACACCGGAGGCGAAAGCGGUGUACUGGGGCUGGUCUGACGCUGAGGCACGAAAGCCAGGGGAGCGAACGGGG
rnacentral:rRNA from 1 species